rnacentral:rRNA from 1 species
AAGAGAACAAGAGCGAACGGAGGAUGCCUUGGCUUCCGGAAGCGACGAAGGACGUGGUAAGCUGCGAAAAGCUCCGGGGAUCUGCAAACAGGAAUUGAUCCGGAGAUGUCCGAAUGGGGUAACCCGGCUGGUUGAAGACCAGUCACCAACGAUUAGUUGGCGCUGACGCAGGGAACUGAAACAUCUUAGUACCUGCAGGAAAAGAAAGAAAUAUCGAUUCCCAAAGUAGUGGCGAUCGAAAUGGGAAGAGCCUAAACCGGUAUCGUUACGGCGAUGUCGGGGUUGUAGGACCACCUCUAAAGAUUAUGCUAGGAACUGGAACUGUCUGGAAAGUCAGUCCAAAGAGGGUGAAAGGCCCGUACAGGUAACGGGGCAUGAUCGAUGGUGGCACCUGAGUAGGGCGGGACACGUGGAAUCCUGUCUGAAUCUGCGGCGAGACCGAUAGUGGACCAGUACCGUGAGGGAAAGGUGGGAAGCACCCCGAACAGGGGAGUGAAAUAGAACCUGAAACCGUUCGUUUACAAGCGGUCGGAGUCCGAAAGGACGACGGCGUGCCUUUUGCAUAAUGAGCCUACGAGUUGCUUCUCGAUGGCGAGGUUAAGUCCUUCAGGGACGUAAGCCGGAGCGAGAGCGAGUCUGAACAGGGCGUUCAGUCAUCGGGAGCAGACGCGAAACCUAGUGAUCUACCCAUGGCCAGGGUGAAGGUGCCGUAACAGGCACUGGAGGCCCGAACCAGUUUCCGUUGAAAAGGGCUUGGAUGAGCUGUGGGUAGGAGUGAAAGGCCAAUCAAACUGGGAGAUAGCUCGUACUCCCCGAAAUGUCUUUAGGGACAGCCUCGUCUGUGUCUUCGUGAGGUAGAGCGACUGAUAGGAAAAGAGGGCUUCAUCGCCUAUCGAUUUCUGAUAAACUCCGAAUGCGCGAAGAUUAAAGGACGGGAGUGAGUCGUCGGGUGCUAAUAUCCGUCGGCGAAAGGGUAAGAGCCCAGACCUUCAGCUAAGGCCCCCAAGAGCAGUUUAAGAGCAGCUAUUCAUUCAAAGAGUGCGUAACAGCUCACUAGUCGAGCGGUGAUGCGUGGAUGAUGACCGGGCAUAAAAACUGUCGCCGAAGCUAAGGACGCAAUUUCGCAUUGCGUGGUAGGGGAGCAUUCCAGUCAGCGUCGAAGGUGGACCGUGAGGUCUGCUGGAGCGUCUGGAAAAGAAAAUGUAGGCAUAAGUAACGAUAAUGAAUAUAGAAAUAUUCACACCGAAAACCCAAGGUUUCCUGAACAACGUUAAACGGAUCAGGGUUAGUCGGGACCUAAGGGGCAGCCGAGAGGCGAACCUGAUGGCGAACUGGUUAAUAUUCCAGUACUCGUGUUGCAGGAUAGGAUGAGACCGAGGAGUGACACUGCCGCGUGGCAACGGAAAUGUCCACGUUGAAGGCCGUAGGGAAACUGAAAGCCGACAGUACCGUGAAUCUUCGGAGGAACGGACAGCGCAGGUAAUCAAGCUCGCAAGAAAAUCAUUCUAUCGCUAAGCGCAAUACGACCCGUACCGUAAACCGACACAGGUGGGUGAGGAGAGAAUCCUCAGGUGCUCGAGUGAAUCACGGCUAAGGAACUAGGCAAAUUGACCGCGUAACUUCGGGAGAAGCGGACCCUGGCGACAGGGCGCAGAGAAAUGGCCCAGGCGACUGUUUACCAAAAACACAUGGCUAUGCUAAAUCGUUAAGAUGACGAAUAUGGCCUGACACCUGCCCGGUGCCGGAAGGUUAAGAGGGGGGCUUAGCGCAAGCGAAGGUCUGAAUCGAAGCCCCGGUAAACGGCGGCCGUAACUAUAACGGUCCUAAGGUAGCGAAAUUCCUUGUCGGGUAAGUUCCGACCUGCACGAANNNNNNNNNNNNNNNNNNNNNNNNNNNNNAGCCGUGAGCUCGGUGAAAUUGUAGUGGCGGUGAAGAUGCCGCCUACCCGCAACGGGACGAAAAGACCCCGUGAACCUUUACUAUAGCUUAGCGCUGAUUCUGGAUGUCGGAUGUGUAGCAUAGGUGGGAGGCUAAGAAGCCGGGACGCUAGUUCUGGUGGAGCCGUCCAGUGAAAUACCACCCUUCCGACAUCUGGGGUCUAACCACGUUAGUGGGACACCGCUUGGUGGGUAGUUUGACUGGGGUGGUCGCCUCCAAAAGAGUAACGGAGGCUUCCCAAGGUCCGCUCAGCGCGAAUGGCAACCGCGCGCAGAGUGCAGUGGCAUAAGCGGGCUUGACUGGGAGACAAACAAGUCGAGCAGGUACGAAAGUAGGGCAAAGUGAUCCGGUGGUUCCUCAUGGGAGGGCC